rnacentral:rRNA from 1 species
AUGGAAGGAGCUGUGGGUGCGUGGGCAUGGUGGCUGGGCCUCCUGUUCGGCGCCAUCCCGCUGCUCUGCCUCACCGUGUGGCAUUCCACCGACGCAUGGUACUGCGCCGCCUUCGCUCUCAAACACGGCGGCCGUGGUAGCAAUGGCAUCCGCCGGCGCCUCCCGCCCGGCCACAUGGGCGUCCCCUUUCUGGGAGAGACGCUCUCGCUGCUCUGGUACUUCAAGCUGGCACGCCGCCCGGACGACUUCAUCGGCGCCAAGAAGGCCGCGUACGGCAACGGGGCCGGGAUGUACAGGACGCACCUGUUCGGCUCCCCCAGCAUCAUCGCCUGCUCGCCGGCGGCCAACAAGUUCGUGCUCCAGUCAGCCGAAAGCUUCGGCAUCCGCUGGCCGGUGCCGGAGCUCGUCGGCAUCACGUCGGUGGUGAACGUGGAAGGCAGCAGCCACGCCAGACUCCGCGGGUUCAUCCUCGCCGCCAUCAACCGGCCCAGCUCGCUCCAGACCAUCGCCACCGUUGUGCAACCGCGUGUCGUAGCGGCGCUGCGAACGUGGGCGGAUAAGGGUACCAUCGUCGCCGCCACAGAGAUUAAAAAGGUGACGUUUGCCAACAUCUGCAAGAUGUUCAUAAGCAUGGAGCCAUCGCCUUUGACAGCCAAGAUCGAUCUGUGGUUCGGCGACUUGCUUCAUGGUCUGAGGGCAUACCCCUUUGAUUUUCCAGGGACAGCAUCUCACCGUGCUCGAAAGAGUCGCCGGAAGCUAGACACGAUCUUCCGAGAGGAGCUGGAGGCAAGGAAGAAGGUGAACAAGCAAUGCGAUGAUCUAAUGGGCGGUCUGAUGCAGAUGAAGGACGAGCAGGGAAAGAAGUUGAGUAAUGAGGAGGUGGUGGAUAACAUUGUUUCCCUUGUCAUCGCUGGCUACGAGUCCACUACCAUCGCCACCAUGUGGGCUGUCUACCACCUCGCAAAAUCCCCCGUCAUCCUUGCCAAGCUUCGAGAGGAGAAUAUAGCGAUGAGCAAAAGCAAAGGUGGGUCGACGUCGACAAGUUUGAUGAUCACCCACACCGACAUCCCAAAGAUGAAGUACACGGCCAAGGUGGUGGAGGAGACAAUUCGGAUGGCCAACAUCGCCCCCAUGGUCCACCGCGUGGCAAACAGGGACGUGGACUACCGCGGCUAUACCAUACCGAAGGGCUGGGCUGUGCUGGUAUGGUUGAGAUCCUUGCACACUGAUCCCAAUUACUACGAGGAUCCCCUCUCCUUCAAUCCUAACAGAUGGGAUGUAAGUAGACUAUCUAAAAUAGUGGCUUGCUUCAAUUUUUUGUCUUAUUUAGUUAUCUGA